rnacentral:ncRNA from 1 species
UCAAAAGCUGUGAUAGAGUAAAGUAAACGGACAAAGUCGAUUUAAGAGAAGAGAUAUCGGCGGCUGAAAGUAUCUCUAUGAGACAAACCGUUGAAGUUCCCUCUGGAGCUGCAUCUUUGAACAGAGGAAUGACUAAUGUUACUUUUAAGUUUUAUUUUAGUUGUUACUAUAUAGUAGGAGAUGCCGGAGCAAACCCGUUAAAGUAAUGAGUGUUUACCUUAAGAUUUGGUGAAAACUUGGGUGGUACCGCGGAGAAUACCUUCGUCCCUUUU